UACGUAGGCAGCGAGCGUUGUUCGGAGUUACUGGGCGUAAAGGGUGUGUAGGCGGUCUUCUAAGUCUGGUGUGAAAUCUCCCGGCUCAACUGGGAGGGUGCGCCGGAAACUGGGAGGCUAGAGUGUGGGAUGGGAGAGUGGAAUUCCUGGUGUAGCGGUGAAAUGCGUAGAUAUCAGGAGGAACACCUGUGGUGUAGACGGCUCUCUGGACCGCAACUGACGCUGAGACACGAAAGCGUGGGUAGCAAACAGG
rnacentral:rRNA from 1 species